rnacentral:rRNA from 1 species
AACGGCGGCUAUAGCGAAGGGGAUACACCUGUUCCCAUCCCGAACACAGAAGUUAAGCCCUUCAGCGCCGAUGGUACUGCACUGGCAACGGUGUGGGAGAGUAGGUCGCCGCCGAUU